ACUGCUCUCACACUGCUCUGCUGGGUACAGGUACUGCUCUAUCGGUACAGGUACUGCUCUAUGGGUACAGGUACUGCUCUAUCGGUACAGGUACUGCUCUAUCGGUACAGGUACUGGUCUAUGGUUACAGGUUCUGGUCUAUGGUUACAGGUUCUGGUCUAUGGUUACAGGUUCUGGUCUAUGGUUACAGGUUCUGGUCUAUGGUUACAGGUACUGGUCUAUGGUUACAGGUUCUGGUCUAUGGUUACAGGUACUGCUCUAUGGUUACAGGUUCUGGUCUAUGGUUACAGGUACUGGUCUAUGGUUACAGGUUCUGGUCUAUGGUUACAGGU